UACGUAGGGUGCAAGCGUUGUCCGGAAUUAUUGGGCGUAAAGAGCUUGUAGGCGGUCUGUCGCGUCUGCUGUGAAAAUCCAGGGCUCAACCCUGGACCUGCAUUCGAUACGGGCAGACUAGAGUUCGGUAGGGGAGACUGGAAUUCCUGGUGUAGCGGUGAAAUGCGCAGAUAUCAGGAGGAACACCGGUGGCGAAGGCGGGUCUCUGGGCCGAAACUGACGCUGAGGAGCGAAAGCGUGGGGAGCAAACAGG
rnacentral:rRNA from 1 species